UGCAGUCGAACGAGAAAGGGGAGCAAUCCCUGAGUAAAGUGGCGACCGGGUGAGUAACGCGUGACUAACCUACCUUUUAGUGGGGGAUAACUCCGGGAAACCGGAGCUAAUGCCGCAUAACAUCGCAAGAUCAAAGCAGCAAUGCGCUGAAAGAGGGGGUCGCGGCUGAUUAGCUAGUUGGCGGGGUAACGGCCCACCAAGGCGAAGAUCGGUAUCCGGCCUGAGAGGGCGCACGGACACACUGGAACUGAAACACGGUCCAGACUCCUACGGGAGGCAGCAGUGGGGAAUUUUGCGCAAUGGGGGAAACCCUGACGCAGCAACGCCGCGUGGAGGAUGAAGUCCCUUGGGACGUAAACUCCUUUCGACCAAGACGAUAAUGACGGUACUGGUGGAAGAAGCACCGGCUAACUCUGUGCCAGCAGCCGCGGUAAUACAGAGGGUGCAAGCGUUGUUCGGAAUUAUUGGGCGUAAAGGGCGCGUAGGCGGUGCCACAAGUCACCUGUGGAAUCUCCGGGCUUAACUCGGAGCCUGCAGGCGAAACUGUGGUGCUGGAGUGUGGGAGAGGUGCGUGGAAUUCCCGGUGUAGCGGUGAAAUGCGUAGAUAUCGGGAGGAACACCUGUGGCGAAAGCGGCGCACUGGACCACAACUGACGCUGAGGCGCGAAAGCUAGGGGAGCAAACAGGAUUAGAUACCCUGGUAGUCCUAGCCCUAAACGAUGAUUGCUUGGUGUAGCAGGUACCCAAUCCUGCUGUGCCGCAGCUAACGCGAUAAGCAAUCCGCCUGGGGAGUACGGUCGCAAGGCUGAAACUCAAGGAAUGACGGGGGCCCGCACAAGCGG
rnacentral:rRNA from 1 species